ensembl:lncRNA
GGUCAUUAACAGGCCCACACUCUCAGUGUCUGAGACCAGCUUCUUGUUCUGUCCUCAAGCACCGUUUAGAUGAUGCAGUUUGGUAGAGACAAGAAGAAGCACGUAGUGAUUAAGGUAGACACUGUGGAAGCUUUCUGCUGCAUGGAUUUAAAAGGCAAUGUCUGGCUGAAUUCUGUCUCCGCAGCUGGUCCUGAUGUGCAUACCAUGAAUGAAACUGGGAUACAGUCCUGCUUACAGGAAAGAGACUUCAUGGAUCCUCAACUGGUGGCUGGAUUGCAUAGUUUAAGGCUAAGAUGGCCCAGGCCAAAGCCCCGACGGUUCGUGUGUGGUUCACACUGGUGCUUGUAAGAUGAGUGGCUAGAAGACCAGUGAAGGAUGGCUUCCCUCCAGAAGUCAGGUUCCAGCUCUGAAACGCUCUCACUCUUUGUCUUUUCCUUUAAUUCCUAGGUUGAGCAGAACACAUGACAGCCUUCAUAGAAUAUCUGACUCUCAAGUAAUAGGCAACUGAGCCAGAGCAAAAGAUAUAGAGGAUGCCACCAGGAGAGCAGAGAGGACCAUAGCGCUCAGUGUGUGUGUUUCCUACCUGAGACCUCAGUUUCUAGAUCCAUAAACAAAAUGAUUGGAUGAAUCCAAUCCAGGGCCUGUGCAGCUUUGGUCACCUAAGACGUAAAGUGCUGAUGAGGAUGACUGUGGAUUUGAAUUCAACUUGUGCCACCAAGGAGGAUAGGUUUUGUAAAGGAAACAUACAAUCAUCUUGAGGGUGGAGAGAGAGAGAUGAUGGAAUCAUAUAGUCAGCCACUAUGUGUGAUGGGGGAUGGGUAUUGACUUUCCAGACCCUUCUAGUUCAGCCAUGGCUCCUCCAUAAGCACCCCCCACUGUAGCCAGAACCCCAAGGUGUCCAAAUCUCCUUUCAGACUAGGUGCUCCGUUCCAGGGUACCCAGACCUCCUUACAUACGAGGCACUCAGUAUGUUACCCAUGUGACUCAGGGCCAGGUUCACCGUUUCCUCCUUUGGUAGCAACUCCAUGACUGUUGGCUUGGUUUCUGUUUUUUGAGGGUUUCUCUGAAUAGCCGUGGCUGUUCUAGAACUUUCUCUGUUCUAGACCUAGCUCUAGACCAGGCUGGCUUCAAACUUAGAGAGCCACUUACUUGCCAUUGCCUCCUGAGUGCUGGGUUUUAAGGUAUGCACCACAUCCCUUCAGACUCCUGUUAUCCAUGAAGAGGGACAGCAGCGAGAGGCUAGUCUGUAGGGAGUGUGUGAUCACAUCAAGGGUCAACACUUUUGAAGUUGUGUCAGUCUGGACUUCAUUGUCUCCUGAGACCAUUCUCCACCUUCCCUGUUUACUGCUCAAAUGGUUCUAUAUCUCCUCCACAUCAAACAAGUUUUACCAGGUAUAGAAAACAAUGGGUUGCCCUACUGUGCAAAGUGGGGGUCAAAUUGUGUCACUUCUGACUAUAUCUCACUGUAAACACGAAGUUCUUUGUUUAAGGAAGAGACUUCACUCUUUUUUUUUUCAACACCUAGUAUUUUAUUCAGAUAGCAGUCCCAUUACACAUGGUCCAAAAACAUUCAAAUAAGAACUCAAAUCAGAAGUUAAAGAUUGGUCUUCAAACAUCAUAGCCAACAAUGCCACAUUUGCCUAUGAUCUCUCCGAUAUAAAACCACACCCACACCUCAGUGGCCACCAAACCAUUCGGCAUAGCUUCCUUAACUGUAAGGUGUUCGAAGCUACCAGUUUUAGCACUUCACUCUUGUAGACAAAUCUCAUGCAUACUGGAGAAGUGCUGUAGGAGAAGUGACUCUACUGAUCCUGAAGGAGGUAGAGAUUAUAUGCCUAACUUCUUUCUUUGACGUAAGUGCCAAUAGGGUAUCCUGUGGUGUAAGAUAUAGGAAAAGCAAAAGAACCAUCCAAUGCCCAGAUCUGUCGCUCCACAGGAUUCCCACGACUCUCAUAGGCAUAUCAUUCUAGAACUUUCCAGAGUUCAUCUCCCUGGACUCUCUGUUCAUGAAAGGGAUACUGUGUUCAAGGACAUACAGAGCUGGAGACACGAGAUGGAUGGUUGAAACUUGACACUUGCUUGGCCAAAUCUUGCCAUUACUGGUAUUUAUGAUGACAAGGGCCACACUUGGAAAGCAUUCUGAGCAUAUUCUAGAAACGAGCUUCCUCUCCACUAGCAACUCACAAAGUGAACUUCAGGAAAUUCAUCGCAACCUUCACUUUAAAUUUCUCAUUCCCCUGUCGCCUGCACCAAGGUGAUGUUUUCACGAGCCGGCUACUUCUUUGAUCUGAACAUUAGUAUACAUUUUUAUCUUGACAUUGCCCUCCAGGUCAGUGUUCUAGAACAAUCAUCUAGGAAAAUCUGAUUUACUACUUCACAGACAAAUACAGCCUGUAAAUGAGGCAAAUAAGAGAUAAUUUUGGACCGAGCUGAUUUGCAUACAAACCAAGGGGGAAAUGCUGAAUGAAAUGCCACCUUGUCAUAGUUUUCUAUUAAACCCAAAUCAAGUUUUUCUCAAAGAGAGGUGACCACCUGUCUUGGGCUCCCACCAGGCCUGUUGCACUUCUCUGUCUUCCCAACCUCUCUAUCUCCUUCAGGAUCUUUCACGGUGAAAGGGAUUGCUUCCCUGUUUCUCAGGCUCAAAUCCAUUGAUCCUUUAGCUGCCACUGACCCUAUUUGCAGGCUCAUUAUUUCAAAAAUCCAUUACUAUUAACGUUAACUAAUAGUUAAUUACCACAGGAUUCCUAUGGAAGUGCAUAAGAGAGCUGUAUGAAUGUCAAACGAGUACAUUAAUGAUAGCUGCUACCACAGUGACUAGAAAAUGAUUUCAUAAUGACAGGGGAGGUAAUAUAUAAUAAAGGAGACUGCUUCUGCUUCUAUGUAUCCA